rnacentral:tRNA from 3 species
GGGCCUGUGGUUCAGUGGCAGAAUGUCCGGCUGGCAGCCGGGAGGCUCGGGUUCGAUUCCCGGCAGGUCCA